rnacentral:rRNA from 1 species
GACGGAGGGUGCUAGCGUUGUUCGGAAUUACUGGGCGUAAAGGGCGCGUAGGCGGCCUGUUAAGUCGAACGUGAAAUCCCCGGGCUCAACCCGGGAACUGCGUCCGAUACUGGCAGGCUUGAAUCCGGGAGAGGGAUGUGGAAUUCCAGGUGUAGCGGUGAAAUGCGUAGAUAUCUGGAGGAACACCGGUGGCGAAGGCGGCAUCCUGGACCGGUAUUGACGCUGAGGCGCGAAAGCCAGGGGAGCAAACGGG